UAGGGAAUCUUCCGCAAUGGGCGAAAGUCUGACGCAGCAACGCCGCGUGGGUGAUGAAGUUUUUCGGAAUGUAAAACCCUGUCGGUGGGGAAGAAACGUACGAGUAGUAACUGACUCGUGCCUGACGGUACCCACAGAGGAAGUCCCGGCUAACUCCGUGCCAGCAGCCGCGGUAAUACGGGGGGGACGAGCGUUGUUCGGAUUUACUGGGCGUAAAGGGCGCGUAGGCGGGCUUUCAAGUCGGAUGUGAAACCUGGUGGCUUAACCACCAGCCUGCAUUUGAUACUGUUGGCCUUGAGUACAGGAGAGGAGAGUGGAAUUCCAGGUGUAGCGGUGAAAUGCGUAGAUAUCUGGAAGAACACCAGUAGCGAAGGCGGCUCUCUGGACUGAUACUGACGCUCAAGCGCGAAGGCUUGGGGAGCAAACA
rnacentral:rRNA from 1 species